rnacentral:rRNA from 1 species
GAUGAACGCUGGCGGCGUGCCUAAUACAUGCAAGUCGAGCGAACAGACGAGGAGCUUGCUCCUCUGACGUUAGCGGCGGACGGGUGAGUAACACGUGGAUAACCUACCUAUAAGACUGGGAUAACUUCGGGAAACCGGAGCUAAUACCGGAUAAUAUAUUGAACCGCAUGGUUCAAUAGUUAAAGACGGUUUUGCUGUCACUUAUAGAUGGAUCCGCGCCGCAUUAGCUAGUUGGUAAGGUAACGGCUUACCAAGGCAACGAUGCGUAGCCGACCUGAGAGGGAGGCCGGCCACACUGGAACUGGUACACGGUCCAGACUCCAGCGGGAGGACGCGGUAGGCAAUCUUCCGCAAUGGGCGAAAGCCUGACGGAGCAACGCGGCGUGAGUGAUGAAGAUCUUCGGAUCGUAAAACUCUGUUAUUAGGGAAGAAAAAAUGUUUAGGUAACUAUGCACGUCUUGACGGUACCUAAUCAGAAAGCCCCGGCUAACUACGUG